rnacentral:rRNA from 1 species
AUGGAAACUGGGACGGGUUCCCCUCCGUUGGAUGUUUGUAGACGGCAUCAUAAUCGAGACAAGUCAUACUAUGCCUCUGAUGCGUCGGACAUUACAAAACGGACAACGGAGGCUUCGCCAGUUCACGAACCCAUGGCGUCCACUCCUCGUCGACUCUCAUUCCUUCGCCGGCAUCAUGGGUCGGGCAUCAACGAACAGUCCCCCAUUGCUGUUGAGCACGACCUCCAACGUCACAACACCAAAGUUGCAAAUUGUCUUGAUUUGACUACAACACAGAAAACAUCAUUCAAAUGGCAGAUUAUAAAUAUGCAAGAGAAAAUUAUAUUGCGCUAUCGGAUAUAUCACACAAUCUCUGUUCUUUGUCUUCUCCAUGAUGCACACAACAAAGAACGCUAG